rnacentral:rRNA from 1 species
UGGGGAAUCUUGGACAAUGGGGGCAACCCUGAUCCAGCCAUGCCGCGUGAGUGAUGAAGGCCUUAGGGUCGUAAAGCUCUUUCGCCUGUGAAGAUAAUGACGGUAGCAGGUAAAGAAACCCCGGCUAACUCCGUGCCAGCAGCCGCGGUAAUACGGAGGGGGUUAGCGUUGUUCGGAAUUACUGGGCGUAAAGCGCACGUAGGCGGACCAGAAAGUUGGGGGUGAAAUCCCGGGGGCUCAACCCCGGAACUGCCUCCAAAACUAUUGGUCUAGAGUUCGAGAGAGGUGAGUGGAAUUCCAAGUGUAGAGGUGAAAUUCGUAGAUAUUUGGAGGAACACCAGUGGCGAAGGCGGCUCACUGGCUCGAUACUGACGCUGAGGUGCGAAAGUGUGGGGAGCAAAACAGGAUUAGAUACCCCUGGUAGUCCACACCGUAAAACGAUGAAUGCCAGUCGUCGGGUAGCAUGCUAUUCGGUGACACACCUAACGGAUUAAGCAUUCC